CUCCUUGCGGGUCCGAGUCACAAACAGCUGGCUCCUCCUCACUUCCUCCUCCUUGGGGAUCAGAGCUGUUGUCCUGCCCAGGACCCUCCCUGGCCAAUGACAGCCCACCAGCAGAGCUCAGCCCACUACUCAGAACCAGAACCCACCGGUGGUGAAGAAGCCGGGGCUGUGUCUGCCCCCCACCAGUCCCGUUUGACCUCUGAAGAUCUCUCCGGGUGGCGUCAGUCUCCCCAUCAUUGUGAAGUACCGGCUAGGAGUCUCUGAGCAGCCCCACGGGUUUGGAGAACUGUCCUCUGUGCUAAGUAGCCUCAUCGAGUGGCCCGUUUCCUCCCUGGGGCUGUCCUGUGGUUAUUGACUGCAAAUCGAUGGCCGAGGUUGCCCCGGAGGUGAGAGAGAAUUCCCACGGUGCCUUAUGGCCCAGAGGCCCCGCGGAUGAUCUCACAGAAGUGGGGCAGGUAUUUUUUACCAGCCGUUUAAUUACAGAGUUUGGAUCCCAGAGGAGAGAUGCAAUGGUGCUCCCAGGAGCUCCGAGGGAAAGGCCAUGCUGGGAAAUGUGGGGAUCCUGGGAGGACAGGUGAGGGCAUGACCCACUGUCUCAGUUCCCCUAACACCAGGCUGUCCCCCUCAGACAGGGGCUCCCCAAGGCAGGGAAGGACCACAUCACUGCACUUACUCUCCACUGGUAAUUUUUCACCCUGGCCUGGGGGCAGGGGUAGAAUAUAUAAACACAGGGGGCUGGACCUGUGCCCCCAGGGGUGGUGGCCACCUUGGGGGACAAGGAGGCAAGGCCCCCAACUGCCUGGACACACCAGUAGUUUGGCGAACCAGAGUAAUAAAGGCUGGAUGGCCCUGGGAACAGGAGGACGCUGGCUGAGGAGAGAGCUGGAGUCCCUACCUCGGGACCUCUUCAGGAAGGCCGGGUUCGAUGGGAGCUCUGGAGGGAACAGGAUUCCAGAAGGCAAGCACGCAAAUACAGAGUGCAGACCACAGGGACAGAAGGAAGUCUGAGAGGGCAGUGCCUUCAGUGCCAGUAGGAAAAAACGGGUCCUACCUGAUCCACACUGGAAGGCGAGCCGCAGGGUCCUGGAGUCGGGGAGGAUCCCAGGCCUGUCACUAACAGGCUGCAUGUUCUCAGGCCCGUGUGAGGGCUUAGGCAGUGACAGCUGUGACGUGUUUGACACACCCACCGUGAACGUGUGCCGGACAUAUUCGUUUGUUCAUUCAUACCCAGCGUGGGGCUUGAACUCACGACCCUGGGAUCAAGCAUCGCAUGCUCUACCGACUGAGCCAGCCAGGUGCCCCCAUUCAUUCAGUGUUUACCGUGCCUACUACGUGCCCAGCACUGGGGACAGAGCCACUUAAAACACUGCAUUCUCAGGAAGGGUGUGGUAGGGAGUGGAGGGUAGGACAGCACAACCAAGCAAGGGAACAAAUGGUAUGUCAGAUAGGGAUAAGCACCAUGGAGAAAAGUAAGCAAAGGGCAUGCAGACACCAGCGCUGAGUGGAGCAGGAACAUUCCUUGCUCUCAGAAGAGCGGUGGUCAGGGAAGACUAUUGGACGACAUGGUAUAUGAGCAGAAACCUGAAGGAGGCGAGGGAGUGUGGAGGAAAGACCGUUCCCGGCAAGUGCAAGAGAGAAUUGCAGGUGCAAAGGCCCUGGGGUGGGACCCAGCAGCAACCAGAGCAGAGUGGGCCAGAAGAACUGCAGGAGAUAAGGUCAGGGGGGUAAGUGGAGGCAGAUCAUGUGACACCUUGAGGAUUAUGGGUAGGACUUCUACUUUUACUCUGAGUGGAAUGGGAGCCAAAGAAGGAUUAGGAGGGACCUGGUCUGUCUUGUUUUAGGAGUGAUGACUGUGCUCCUGGGUGGAGAAUGGACUGGGGGUGGGGGGUGAGGUGAAGCUUGGGGGGACCAGUGAAGAGGCUGCUAAAGUAUGAUAGGGGAGAGCAGGGAUCAUGUGGGCCCCUGGAGGGCAGCCCGGAUGAUGAGUAGAGAAAAGGUUGAGUUCUUGGCAUAUUUCAAAGGCAGAGCCAAGAGGAAUGCACAUGAUUUCUUCCUGCCCACCCGCCUUUGGGGGCCCUCAGAAGAGGUUAGCUUGGGAAGCUGGGUAACAGGAGGCUCGUGGGGACCCCAGCCUCCGCCAGCCCCACAAAUGACCUUGGGAAUGCCAUUUGAAGAGUGACUGGGGAGAGGGCCCCCCCC